GAUAAAUUUUUUAUGUUUUUAAAAAUUUAUUUUAAAUUUAUUUUACAUAUAAAUUUUAGUAUAAAAUUUUAAUUAUUUUAAUAAUAAUUAAUUAUUUAUUUAAUAGUAAUUAAAAUUAAAAAUUUAAGAAAUUAAGAUUUAGUAAUAUAAAAAUUAAUAACUAAUUUUGUGCCAGCAGUUGCGGUUAAACAAAAAUUAAAUUAAAUUAUUUCAGUAAAUAAUUAAUGAAUAAUAAAUUAAAAUAAAUAUUAAAUUAUUAAGUGAAAUUUUAAUUUAAUUAAAUUUUAUGUAAAAUUUAUGAUUUAAUAAAUUUUAAUAUAAACUAGGAUUAGAUACCCUAUUAUUAAAAAUUUAAUUUAAAAUACUAAAAUAGUAAAUAAUAUAUUAUUGAAACUUAAAUAAUAUGGCGGUAUUUUAGUUCAUUUAGAGGAAUCUGUCUAGUAAUUGAUGAUCCACGAAUAAAUUUACUUAAUUUAAUAUUUUGUAUAUCAUUGUUAAAAAAAUAUUUUUUAAUAAAAAUAAUAUUUAAAAAUUUUAAAUAUAAAUUAAUUCAGAUCAAGAUGCAGAUUAUAAUUAAGAUUAAGAUGGAUUACAAUAAAAUUAUUUAAAUGAAGAGAAUUUUGUAAAUAUAAUUGAAAGUGGAUUUAAAUGUAAUUUUAAUUAAUUUAUUAAAAUGAUUUUAAAUUAAAAUAUGUACAUAUUGCCCGUCACUUUCAUUUAAAAAUUGAAAUAAGUCGUAACAAAGUAGAGGUACUGGAAAGUGUUUCUAGAAUGAA
rnacentral:ncRNA from 1 species